rnacentral:rRNA from 1 species
UUUAUGGAGAGUUUGAUCCUGGCUCAGAGUGAACGCUGGCGGCGUGCCUAAUACAUGCAAGUCGAACGAUGAAGCUUCUAGCUUGCUAGAGUGCUGAUUAGUGGCGCACGGGUGAGUAACGCAUAGGUCAUGUGCCUCUUAGUUUGGGAUAGCCAUUGGAAACGAUGAUUAAUACCAGAUACUCCCUACGGGGGAAAGAUUUAUCGCUAAGAGAUCAGCCUAUGUCCUAUCAGCUUGUUGGUAAGGUAAUGGCUUACCAAGGCUAUGACGGGUAUCCGGCCUGAGAGGGUGAACGGACACACUGGAACUGAGACACGGUCCAGACUCCUACGGGAGGCAGCAGUAGGGAAUAUUGCUCAAUGGGGGAAACCCUGAAGCAGCAACGCCGCGUGGAGGAUGAAGGUUUUAGGAUUGUAAACUCCUUUUGUUAGAGAAGAUAAUGACGGUAUCUAACGAAUAAGCACCGGCUAACUCCGUGCCAGCAGCCGCGGUAAUACGGAGGGUGCAAGCGUUACUCGGAAUCACUGGGCGUAAAGAGCGCGUAGGCGGGAUAGUCAGUCAGGUGUGAAAUCCUAUGGCUUAACCAUAGAACUGCAUUUGAAACUACUAUUCUAGAGUGUGGGAAAGGUAGGUGGAAUUCUUGGUGUAGGGGUAAAAUCCGUAGAGAUCAAGAGGAAUACUCAUUGCGAAGGCGACCUGCUGGAACAUUACUGACGCUGAUUGCACGAAAGCGUGGGGAGCAAACAGGAUUAGAUACCCUGGUAGUCCACGCCCUAAACGAUGGAUGCUAGUUGUUGGAGGGCUUAGUCUCUCCAGUAAUGCAGCUAACGCAUUAAGCAUCCCGCCUGGGGAGUACGGUCGCAAGAUUAAAACUCAAAGGAAUAGACGGGGACCCGCACAAGCGGUGGAGCAUGUGGUUUAAUUCGAAGAUACACGAAGAACCUUACCUAGGCUUGACAUUGAGAGAAUCCGCUAGAAAUAGUGGAGUGUCUAGCUUGCUAGACCUUGAAAACAGGUGCUGCACGGCUGUCGUCAGCUCGUGUCGUGAGAUGUUGGGUUAAGUCCCGCAACGAGCGCAACCCCCUUUCUUAGUUGCUAACAGGUCAUGCUGAGAACUCUAAGGAUACUGCCUCCGUAAGGAGGAGGAAGGUGGGGACGACGUCAAGUCAUCAUGGCCCUUACGCCUAGGGCUACACACGUGCUACAAUGGGGUGCACAAAGAGAAGCAAUACUGCGAAGUGGAGCCAAUCUUCAAAACACCUCUCAGUUCGGAUUGUAGGCUGCAACUCGCCUGCAUGAAGCUGGAAUCGCUAGUAAUCGCAAAUCAGCCAUGUUGCGGUGAAUACGUUCCCGGGUCUUGUACUCACCGCCCGUCACACCAUGGGAGUUGUGUUUGCCUUAAGUCAGGAUGCUAAAUUGGCUACUGCCCACGGCACACACAGCGACUGGGGUGAAGUCGUAACAAGGUAACCGUAGGUGAACCUGCGGUUGGAUCACCUCCUUUCUAGA